UACGUAGGGUGCGAGCGUUGUCCGGAAUUAUUGGGCGUAAAGAGCUUGUAGGCGGUUUGUCGCGUCUGCUGUGAAAUUUCGGGGCUCAACCCCGAACUUGCAGUGGGUACGGGCAGACUAGAGUGUGGUAGGGGAGACUGGAAUUCCUGGUGUAGCGGUGAAAUGCGUAGAUAUCUGGAGGAACACCGGUGGCGAAGGCGGCGUUCUGGACUGUCUCUGACACUGAAGAACGAAAGCCAGGGGAGCAAACGGG
rnacentral:rRNA from 1 species